GUGGGAGCGGGCUUGCUCGCGAAUACGGUGUGUCAGGCAAUAUCCUUGUGACUGAUACACCGUAUUCGCGAGCAAGCCCGCUCCCAC
rnacentral:misc_RNA from 1 species